rnacentral:rRNA from 1 species
AUGGCUGAACCCGAGGUGGCGGCCGCCGCGGCCGCGGCCAUGGAGACCGAGGCCCCGGAGGCGAACCCUAGCCUGAAGAGGGAGCGGGAGGAGGGGGACGACCCCUCCGCCGGGGCUGCGGCCGAGGAGGCGGAGGACGCGCCGGCCAAGAAGGCGAAGGUGGAGGAAGAGGCGAAGAAGGCGGAGGAUGUCGCCGGGAACGGGGAGGAAGAGGGGGCCAAGGGAGAGGAAGGGAAGCCCGUCAAGCUGGGGCCGAAGGAGUUCGCCACGGCCGUCGACAUGUUCGACUACUUCUUCGCGCUGCUCCACUCGUGGUCGCCGAACCUCGAGUUCAAUAAGUACGAGCAGAUGGUGUUGGAGGACCUGGUGAAGAAAGGCCACGCCGAGCCCACCAAGAAGAUUGGAUCAGGCGUGGAGGCCUUUGAGAUCCGCAACCACCCGGUGUGGCAGAGCCGAUGUUUCUUCAUCCGCAGGGUCGACGGGUCCACCGAUGAUUUCAGCUUCCGCAAGUGCGUCGACAACAUACUCCCUCUCCCCGAGGACCUGAAGGCUGGCAACAAGAAUUCAAACGGCAAGAAGGGUCACCACUACAAGAACGGCGGUGGUAGAGGAGGAGGACGAGGCGGCGGCGGCGGCCGUGGUGGAGGUGGCUUCCGUGGCGGUCGAGGCCGCGGCAGGCGGGGCAACUAG